rnacentral:rRNA from 1 species
GGAAAGGCGCGCGAUACAGGGUGACAGCCCCGUACACAAAAAUGCACAUGCUGUGAGCUCGAUGAGUAGGGCGGGACACGUGGUAUCCUGUCUGAAUAUGGGGGGACCAUCCUCCAAGGCUAAAUACUCCUGACUGACCGAUAGUGAACCAGUACCGUGAGGGAAAGGCGAAAAGAACCCCGGCGAGGGGAGUGAAAAAGAACCUGAAACCGUGUACGUACAAGCAGUGGGAGCACGCUUAGGCGUGUGACUGCGUACCUUUUGUAUAAUGGGUCAGCGACUUAUAUUCUGUAGCAAGGUUAACCGAAUAGGGGAGCCGAAGGGAAACCGAGUCUUAACUGGGCGUUAAGUUGCAGGGUAUAGACCCGAAACCCGGUGAUCUAGCCAUGGGCAGGUUGAAGGUUGGGUAACACUAACUGGAGGACCGAACCGACUAAUGUUGAAAAAUUAGCGGAUG